AAUAGAUACCCCGGUAGUCCACGCCGUAAACGAUGAGUGCUAAGUGUUAGGGGGUUUCCGCCCCUUAGUGCUGCAGCUAACGCAUUAAGCACUCCGCCUGGGGAGUACGGUCGCAAGACUGAAACUCAAAGGAAUUGACGGGGGCCCGCACAAGCGGUGGAGCAUGUGGUUUAAUUCGAAGCAACGCGAAGAACCUUACCAGGUCUUGACAUCCCGCUGACCGGCCUAGAGAUAGGCUUUUCCCUUCGGGGACAGCGGUGACAGGUGGUGCAUGGUUGUCGUCAGCUCGUGUCGUGAGAUGUUGGGUUAAGUCCCGCAACGAGCGCAACCCUUGAUCUUAGUUGCCAGCAUUCAGUUGGGCACUCUAAGGUGACUGCCGGUGAUAAACCGGAGGAAGGUGGGGAUGACGUCAAAUCAUCAUGCCCCUUAUGACCUGGGCUACACACGUGCUACAAUGGACGGUACAGAGAGUCGCAACCCCGCGAGGGUGAGCUAAUCCCAUAAAACCGUUCUCAGUUCGGAUUGUAGG
rnacentral:rRNA from 1 species